GCACCUGGAGGAAGGAACACUGACAGCUUGGGAAGCUGGACCCACUCAGAGACCCUGCUCUGGCUCUGAACCCAGGUGCCUCUGCAGGAUCUGCGGGGCCUCCGGAAGCCAGUGGGCAUUACUGACUCUAAGAACUCUAAGAAGGUCCCGCUCGAACUGGAUCUUCAUGGCCUGCAGGUUGACCUCCAGCUGCAGAUUGGCAUUUUCAGUGUCCUGCAGCUCAUCCUCCAACUCCUCCAGCUGGGUCUUCAACUCCUUCACCUGCUGCUCCAGAAGCCACCUGGACUUCAGCUCAUGGACCUGAGCCCCAGAGAUCCCAAGUCAGGAGCAAAGAGACUGACAGGGACCUGGGUCUGCUAGACCCGGAAGGCUGCUUCUCGGAACCAUCACGCCGGAGCCCAGAAGGCUGGAGCGUCAGGACGCGGCUGAUGCUGGAGUCUGCACUGGGUGAGGCCUUCUGAACAUGUGUUUCAUGUACUCAGCCAUGCACCGUUCUGCAACUUUGCUGUUGGACUAUUGUUUCCACUCACCUCUGAGCCUGUGUCUCCAUUAGUGAGAUGGGGCUAGAAGCACACAGGACCUUCCCACGAGGUGCCACCCUGCAAGGUUCCCACCCCAGCGCCCUCGCAUGAAGCUGGCUCAGCUUGGCACCGCCCACCCUUACCCGCCACUUCCACAGCUGCUCGAUGGCUUCAUCCCAGUUCUUGUUGGCCGAGUCAAUGUGCGCCUCCAGGUCAAUCUCCAGCUUCUUCCGGGCGGCCACUGCCAUGGAGUGCCUCUUCCUCUCGUCCUCCAGCUCUGCCUCCAUCUCCCGCACCUGAAGGAACACUGACAGCUUGGGAAGCUGGACCCACUCAGAGACCCUGCUCUGGCUCUGAACCCAGGUGCCUCUGCAGGAUCUGCAGGGCCUCCGGAAGCCAGUGGGCAUUACUGACUCUAAGAACUCUAAGAAGGUGAGUCGUUGACCCGAGGGACAGGGGACUGGACAGGAGGGACAGGGAAGGGGAGGCGUGGUCCAGGGCCCUAACACAAUACAGGUGGAAGGAGGAAAUGGAAGCCUGGGUGAAGCCAGGGCAACCCUGGCCAUCGUGGGGUAGCAGGAGCCCACACACACCUGUCUGACCAGCUGCUGCUGCUUCUCCUCACUCUGCUCGUCCCGGCCCUGCAGGUCCCGCUCGAACUGGAUCUUCAUGGCCUGCAGGUUGACCUCCAGCUGCAGAUUGGCAUUUUCAGUGUCCUGCAGCUCAUCCUCCAGCUCCUCCAGCUGGGUCUUCAACUCCUUCACCUGCUGCUCCAGAAGCCACCUGGGCUUCAGCUCAUGGACCUGAGCCCCAGAGAUCCCAAGUCAGGAGCAAAGAGACCGGCAGGGACCUGGGUCUGCUAGACCCAGAACGUGUGUAUGCGUUGACCCUCUGUGAUGACCCCGCUCGGGCCCCUCCCAAGGCCUGGCUGCCAGGCCCGGCACUCACGCUCUUGCCCUUGGAGCUCAUGAUGUCCUCCAUCUCCACGCGGAACUGCUUGUUGAGCCGCUCCAGCUCCACUUUCUGCUCCAUGGCUUCCUUCAGGGCCCGGGCCAGCGACAGCGCCUUGGUCUCCUUCUCUUGGGCCUCGGCCUCGGCCCGGUCACGCUCCUCUGCAUACUUGGCAGAGAUGGUCUUCUCCUCUGCCAGGAGCUGGGAAAGAGAGGGGCACCAUGAGGCUCAGCCCCACAGGCUCCGAGCUACAGCCCCAGCAGGGCAGAGCAGCUGGGCCCAAGCUAAUUUUUGUAUUCUUAGUACAGAUGGGGUUUCACCAUGUUGGCCAAGCUGCUCUUGAACUCUUGACCUGGUGAUCUGCCCGCCUCGGCUUCCCAAAGUUCUGGGCUUAUAGGCAUAUAAGCCCAUGCCCAGUCAAGAGUGCAUUCUUUAGAGUAUACAGGCCCACAGUCUCUGCAGUAACUCAACCCCACUACCACAGCGCAACAACCAGAGAUGACACAAGAACGACACAGUGUGUGUGUGCGUUCGGUCCAGCUUUCUCCCCAAAACGCAGCGGGCUCAAUGUCUAUCCCGCCGCAGUUCCAUGCUCGAUGUCUAUCCCGCCCCGGUUUUCACAUCUCCCUCAGCUUCCCUCAGAUCUUUUGGAAUAAGGAAGCAAUAUGAGUGCACAAAUAAAUGGUGUAAAUGGCAGGAAAACCAGUUCAUUAUAGAAAAUAAUGGGGUUCCUCCUCAACCCACUGCAUGAAGACACCCUCUUCCGCUGGCCUUCUCCCCCAGCCCCUCAACAAGCCAGAGACUAGGGGUCCUCUAAGUGCUGGCCCCACACGACCCCUCCCGGGCAAGGUCUCGAGGGAGCCCAGGCUUUCUCUGAUGAGGCCCUCACCUUGGGCUGAGUGCCGGAAGGAGAGGAAAUGCAAAGGAUGGGGUGGAUGGCUACACACCUGGUCAAACUUCUUCUGCUUCUCCUGCAGGUUGCACACCCUCUGGCGCUGCUUGUCCAGCUCCCGCUGCAGCCAUGUCUUGGUAUUCUCCAUCUUCUCAGGUCGACCCUCCAGGUCAUCCCGGAGCUGCCUCUUCACCUCCUUUGCGGUUUCCAGGCACCCCACACUGUCAAUUCUCUUCUUCAUGUCGGCCACCUGGGCAGGAGCAAGGAGUAAGCAGAUCCCCGAGAUGGCACCUGCUCAGGUCACACACCUGUCCCUGGGGCAGCUGUUCCCAGAAGGAAUUCUUCUCAUCCUCCACCUGCUUGAGGUUGGUGCUCAGGCCCAGAUUCUGCCGGUUCUCCUCCUGCAGCAGCUCCUAAUCCCGGGAUGAGAUAAAUGCGGGUGCUCAGGAGAGUAGUUUCUGAACCCCAGGGACCCCACACCCUGGAGAAGAGGGAGGAGCCAGUCCUGCUGAUUCACGGGAUGACCACGUAAGGACCUGGUGGGAGUUGGGAGAACGCAGAGACCGCCCCCCCAGGAUGAAAAGGAACAUGGGCAAUCUGACGGGUUCUAGAGCUAAUAGGCAGAGGGGCCUUCCAGGAGGAGUCCACCUUCCGGGAACCUGGUUUUUCAUGGGAUAUUGAGCAAGUCCAUGUUGGCUGCCAAAUACAAAAUUACUGCUACUGAGAAAUAGGCUCACUACUAGCUUGUCAGUGAUGUCACCUUUGGACCGACAUCAUCAAUCAGGUCUCAGUUGGUCAUAGCUCUGACAGCUGAGGCCUGAUUCACAAUGGCAGUCAAAAAUGAUACUCACUUGACAUUCUAGAAGCCCCAGAAAAAGACAUUUCUCUUCAAGACAAAGAAAUGCAUCUUACGUGAGGUGACAUCUCCUCCGCAAUCCUCGCAGUCCUACCCUCCUCCGGGUCUUGAAUGGGAGCUAGGAGGACACAGAGAGACAGUCAGUGCACUGGUGCUGUGAGGAAUCCCACAAGGAGGCUUGGGGGACGUGGACUGAAGCUGCAGUGUAUGGAGCUGGGCUGCUGACAAGCAUGGACUGAGCUGCUGCUGGACCACUCUCCUUGGUGUUGAAGGAAGGCAAAGGAGAGGGGCAGAAAGAAACCAAAGAGCCUUGGGCUUUCCAGCUACGGCAACCUCAUCACUGUGAAAUAGUCUGAGAACCGGUUAACACAGAAAGGCACUGCAUGGCUCAGCGAGAGCAUCUCAUCAGACCUGCUGCCCACGUGAAGGUCUAGGCGAAUCCCAACAUUUUAUGAAACGUUACAGGAUUAUUUAACUUCUGUGGAUCUGCAUAUCCUGAUACUACAAUUAUCAUCUAUCCUGUUGCAUUUUUAAAAUUGUAGUAAAGCACACAUAUUUAUUAUUUUAGUUAUUAACUGUGCAUUUUAAUGAUAUUAUAUUCAGUGAAUAACAUUCAUGAUGCUGUGUCAAUAAUGAGAAAAAUCUAAAUUCAUAAUCUAGCUUCCACCUUGGGCAAUGAAAGGAAAACAGCAGUGUAAUGUCAAAUAGAGGAAAAAUACAUGAUUGCAGAAAUUAAAGGAAUAAAAAACAGGAAAUCAUCAGAGAAAAUCAACAAAACCAAAAAACAGUUCUUUGAAAAGAUCAAAAACAUUGGUAAACCUCUACCUUGUCUAACCACAAAGGAAAAGAAGGAAGUCACGAUGUACUAAUAUCAGUUGAAGAUGAGUGGAAUCAAAAAUAAUAAUAAAGGAAUAUUGUGAACACAUCUGUGCUCACACUUGGAUACAUUAUAUGAAAUGAGCUAAUUUUUUGGAUCUGUUUCAGAAGGUUAAAAGUCUUCUCAGGAUAAAUGAAUCAUCUGAAUAGGCCUAUAUUUAUUUUAGAAAUUGAAUCAAUAAUUAGUAUCUUCUCAAAAAAAAAAAAAACACUACCUUCAGAUGAAUUCACCGGUAAAUUCUACCAAAAUUCUCACAAAGAAAGGUAGUCUUACCAUACAAGCAAGUAACCAUAACUUUAGCAUUGCCUUAGUUACACUGUAAAAAUUAUGUUUCCAAACAAGACACAAGAAGGUUUAUACCUGCUGUAUUCAUAAUUGCCCAAACUGAAAGCAAACCUCUAAAUAUUCGAGAUGUCCUUUACUAUCAAAAGUGAACCAAGCCUGGACAACAUGGUGAAAUCCUGUCUCUACAAAAAAAGUAACAUUUAAAAAAAAUAGCUUGGUAUAAAGCAUGUGCAUUACAGCCAACUGCUUGGGAGGCUGAGGUAAAAGGAUCAGCUGAACAUGGGGAGGUCAAGAUUGCAAUGAGCUGUGAUUGCACCAAUGCACUCCUGGGUGACAAAAAUGAGACUUUCUCACAAAAAUAAAGUAACAAAAAGAACCAAACUCUAAGUUGUCAACGUAACUUUCCUUGUGUAGUUGCAUCACCCGUUGAUUAAAUGCAUUUCAGUGGGCACGAACGAAAUAAAUGAAGAACCUGACACAGCAUUUACUGAGUUUCUCUCAUAUGGGACACUGGAUGAGUAAACUGAAAUUAUUUGCUUCAGUCAACUUCAUGAUAUAAUUUCCACACUACCUUCAUUUUCACUGCGGCAAAUUUUCUUACGCCUCCUUUUUGCUGCCCAGCUCCUGGCGCGGCCAGCCAAACCUGCAAGGCAGAAAUGCAUCAUAAUAGACAGUGCUUGACAUCUUGCUGGCAGAGGACCACGGAGAAAUUAGUAAAAACGUUCUCAGUUUAAACUUUUGAUCCUAGUUUUCACCGACUGCUUUUCAAUGCUACCUGAAUUAGAUCUGGGUUCUAGGAAGAUUUGUUUGUGCAGGCAAAUACCUUUAUUCAGAUGAGACAAUACAGAGAAGCAGAAGUUCCAAGUUACCAAAAAAUAGGCUGGGUUCAAAUCCUACUUAGAAUCUGCACAUAACUGGGAGAGGGAUAUGAACCCUUCUGUGCCUCUCUUUCCUAUUCUCAGAUGUGGAAACAUUAUUAGAUCUAGGCUAUAGACCUACUAAGCUCUAUAGUGUCUAAAAGGAUGAAAUGCAGAUAAAGACUUAAAUAGACUCAUGUUUUUGGAAAUGCCCUAAAAUGUUCAAUCAAUGUCGGGAAGAAUAAUCCAGACACUUGGUAGUGGUUGAAUACAGAGAGGGAGCUUGCGUGUCUCUGCGCAGGGUUAGGAUGGAAAGUGACUUCACAGUUUCCAUGGCCACAUGAUUUCCAGCUCAUGACAGAGAUCUGUGAUUUCCCUGAUCCCCAAGUCAGCCCCAAGGGACAGGCAGGGAAGGGGCUACAACCCGUAUUUUCAAAUUCAGUGAAUUCAAAUUCAGACAUUUUGAGUGACUUGCCGUCACCACAGUGAGGAGUGAUAGGUCUGAGGUAAUCAUGUGGUUGGUUCCCCGGGGAGAGAGAUCCCGGAACACCUGAGUCCUCUAGAUCAUGCCCUGGACCCUGGACCGAGAGCUCUUCUCACAAGCUCUGUGAAAUCCUGCUGCCCCAGUGUUUCUGUGGGAUGGUUGAGGCUAUGGAGAGGUCGCAGGUGGCUUACCGCAGUUACUGACCUACUCUAUUAUCCCUAUGUUGUCACUUUUAGUAGUUUUAUGACCCAUAAGGCAAACAUUUUAAGUCUCAGUUAUGAUGCACGGUCUGAGAUUUUACCUGAAUCCACUCUUUCCACCCAUCUGGUGAUUCUCAUCUGCUGGGCUGGAGCUGGCCUGCCGUAAAAGAGGACACACGGCAUACCACGGAGCGGCUGUGCGCCCCACUCCUGUGCACACUCUUGCCUUGCUUCUGCUUUCCCAGCUCUGACAAUCCUAAUUCUGGCUUCCAAACCAAUCCUGUACAUCCCUCUCAGUUCUCAGACUUGCCUCAACUGUUGGAUAUUUUAAUCACUGUUGCGACCAUGACUGAACGGUGACAUUUCAUAUGCCAUAGUAUAUGUUUAUCUUUUUACAUGUUUCUUAAUAGCAUUUAACUUAUUGUUUCAGACUUUUAGGAACAUUUCUGGGCUAGGUGUGCUGGCCCAUGGCUGUAAUCCUGACAGUUUUGGAGGUUAAGGCAGAAGAACUGCUUGAGGUCAGAUGUUUGAGACCAACCUGGGCAACACAGUGAGACCUCGACUCUAGAAAAAAUCUACAAAUUACCAGAUGUGGCGGUGAGCCCUUGUAUCUUUAGCUACAUGGAAGGCUGUUGUGGGAAGAUCGUUUGAGCCUAGAAGAUUGAGGCUGCAGUGAGCUAUGAUCACGCCACUGCCUGGGUGACAAAGCAAGACCCUGUCUUUUCACAAUAAAAAGCAUUACUGUGUCACAAGUAUCCCCAUUUUAUUUCUCAUUAUCUAAUAUUGCUGUUUUCAUCCUGAGGCUUAAUUGCUUUAGUAAGCUAAGAAAAAAAAAGUUGUUUUUUUUUUUUU